rnacentral:rRNA from 1 species
GACGUAGGGUGCAAGCGUUGUCCGGAUUUAUUGGGCGUAAAGAGCUCGUAGGCGGCUUGUUGCGUCGACUGUGAAAACCCGCGGCUUAACCGCGGGCUUGCAGUUGAUACGGGCAGGCUAGAGUUCGGUAGGGGAGACUGGAAUUCCUGGUGUAGCGGUGAAAUGCGCAGAUAUCGGGAGGAACACCAGUGGCGAAGGCGGGCACCUGGGCUAACACUGACGCUGAUGCGCGAAAGCUAGGGGAGCAAACAGG